GAUACCAUGUGAUAAGUAGGCGGCUGAAGUGAGCAGGUUGAUACCUGCGAGUUUGUUCUUGUGAGAAAUAAUUUUAACAGGAAUUCAUAUUGUAUGGAACAUUAUUUCAGAAGUUUUCUGGGUGGAUGCUUCAUAUACCACCCUCAGAGACCGCUGUUCAUACGAGUGUCUUGGCGCAUGGCUAAUCAUGGUCAAACCAAUAGUCAGGUCACAUAGUAGUCAAGAGCAUGCUAUAGAGGAUUCAACUGGUGAUACUGGGCAUUCACCUUUGGAUGACUCAGGUAUCCAGACUGACACCUGGAACUCAGUUCAAGACAAUUUCAGAACUGACAGCAGUUUGUCAAAUGAUGAUUUGGAAGGGGCAGUUGGUUAUUCACCAAAUUCCAGGGCUGUGCCGGACUGGAGUAACAUACGCACACAACGAAGACAGAGUUACUGGGAAGGUUACAGUGGACCAGUGGAUGAAAAUAGGUUUCAUCCUCAGCGAAGACAUUCCUCUGGUGAACUCUCUGGGAGCCCAAGAUCAUAUGAAACUUACAUUGGGCACAGCCAUAGUAAUCAGUUUGGCCCAGGAGAAAGUCAAGCCGGUACUCAGUUUAUGCCACGAGAAAGAAGAGCCAAUAAUCAUUUUAGACCACAGGAAAGACGAGGCAGUAAUCAGUCUGGUUAUGGAAUGACUGAAACAUACAACACAUGGAGCCCUCCAGAAAUACUUACUCACAAUCAUAAUCAUUUUACAACUCAGUAUAUCUACCCUCCUGGAAUACCACGUGAAACUGUGAUUUUUGGUGCUCAACUGUAUACACAAUUUCUUUAUGAUGAAAUUCGGAGGCGUAAUCUUCAGGCACCAGAAUGCCUUGAUCCUAACCAUGCGAACCCUCCCCCACUCUGGAAUAAUGACAUAAUUCAUAUCGGUAACAGUCUUCGCCAAGUAGCAAAUGAAUUUGCUCAUUCAGUGCUUCGUCGCAGAGUUCAAGAAAGAGCCGAGUCUGUCUGCCUGGAAAGUCUCAACUUUAAUACCUUCUCUGAUCUCCUGUUUGGAUUGUUUCAGUAUGCUCAGGACAGGGUGAAAAGAAUUUCUUCUCCAGCUGAUGUAUCAUCUUCAUAAGAGGGAGCCAGUAUCAUAGAAUUGGAUAUAAUGGAUUGGAGAGUAUAAGGAAGGCGGGGUCACAUCAGAGAGAGUGGUUGUCCUGUUUUUCUUUUGUUCUGACCUUGCUAUCAGAGCUCUUUGCAACAGAAUGAGAGAAAGGUUUCAUUUCAUAACGUACUGGAGCCAGCGAUAUAUAAUGGAGAAUUUCAGUAUAUGGGUUCAGGAACAUGGAGGAUGGGCCGCAGUUCUUCAGCAGUCGGUGAAUCGUGUUUAUCAGUGUGCCAUGAUAAGCUUUUUCUGUGUUGGAAUAGUAGCAUUUUUCAUCUACAUACGUAAUAACACACGCUAGGAGCAGACUGCUUAGUUGUGAUGUGUUGCUUGUAUAUAUAGUAUGUAUCAUGAGUAAACUUUGGUAGAAUAAGUUUGGAGAAGUUUUUUCAUCAGUUUUUACUUCCACAUAUUGUGUUCAAACAUUUCUCAAUUUGUAUCUGUUUUAAAGAAGAGUAUCUUCUUUUGUAAGGUUUUUGGCAAAUUUGUGCCAGGUAUUUUUGUACGAGUGAAGCCUAGUGAGAAUUUUGUAUUCAGAUUUUUAUAUAGCAGUGUUUAUGAUGAUAGUAUAUUUUAUAGCAUGCGUCUGUAAUAACUUGUGGUGUGAACAAGGAUUUAAAUGCUUCUUUUUAUUAUAAUGGAUGUUCUGGCCACACAUUUUUGAGAUUCUUCAGAAAUAUAAUUUUCAGAUAGAAGUGGAAGGAUUCUGGGGAAAUCCAAGAUUUAUGUAUUGAAACCUGUUAGUAAGAAUUCAGUAUUUUUGUAGUGUAUCUAGUUAGUGUCAGUGUGUUUUUUUUUGUGCAUUGUUUUUGAAGAUGUACGAGCAAGCUAGUAACUCUAAUUUUGUUCCUUUAAAUAUAGUUUUUAAAAUUUAUAAUUGAGGUAAUUCAUGGAAAGUAAUUCAGGCAGGAAUGCAUGUUGCAAGACCCAUUAUAAUUCAACUUACUGACUGUUCUGGAACGAAAGGACUUUUGUGUAAACCCUGUGUGUAGUGAAUGCAUUAUGGGAAGAUGACAUCUGUCCAGUCUCCUACCUUCAAAACCUUUUAUAUGGAAAGUACAAAUCUAGUUUAAUGUUUCUCACAAGUAGCCUGUUAUACAAAAAACUGAUAAGUAACAUAAAUAAUAUUGUCAUUAAAGUUUGCAGUGGGUAUUUGAAACAUUUUUAUAUGGUGCAUAUUUAACUCUGUGCAACAGAGGUAUGUAGUUUGAAAUAAUCAGCUGUAAAUUAACAUCAAGGUCAGUGUAGCAUGCAGUAUCACAAAGAAAACACACAGUUGGAAAAUGUGAUUUAUUUCCUCUCUUGUUAAGGUCUUGUACCUGUUUGAACAUUAAAAGUGGAUCCUUGAACUAAAAAUUGUAACUGAUAAUGUGUACUUUAGUCUUCCACAGUUCUCCUGCCCUACCUGUUUAGGAUGUUAAUUGAAUCUGCAAGUAUCUAACAGUUCAAAUCCUUGACAAAUUUACAUUUCUAGUACCUCUUCCAUUUGUUAACUGCCCAGUUGCAUUCAUUUGAUUUUGUUGUUGGAGUUGAAAGGUUAUUAAAAGAUAUCCUAUUUUACCUCCUAGAACAUUUCACCAGUUUUUAUUAUAAAUAUUUGCACAGAUCAUUGUUUAAGAACGUGUAUCUGUCAUAAUGUGUCCUAUUUUCUUUUUCUUAACACACAUAGUAUAACUUAUACAUCCUAGAAGUGGUUUAUUCUGCUUAAUGUACUUGUCCCUACUUCUUUUGCAGUUGGAACUUUUGACAUCAUGGAUGUUGGUCUAAGCUUCCUUGAAGUCGGUUAUUUUUCAGAUUUACCUCAGAAUUUAUCAGCAACACAUUUGUGUUUGAAACUUCAUAUUUCAACUGCCAUUUUCUGUCUAUAUGUAUAUAAAAAGUGUUGUUCUGAAUAAAGAGAGUUCAGCAUAGUUUUGUAUUUUGAAUGUGUACUAUAAUGUAUGACAACUGCAGAGUAAUAGUGGGAAGGUACUCAAAAUCUGCAGUACACAUUUUCCCAAUGCAUUCUUUGCAUUAUUGUAUGCCUCAUUGGUCUUGAUCAUUUGUUGAACAUGAAAUAUCUCAUUUUAUGUUCAUUUGAUUCACUCUAUGCAGAGGAUACACAGAAAGUUAAUAAUCCUCAGAUCAGAAUGUACUGUCUGUAGAAUUUGCCCAAGCAGCAGAGGAACUAAAUUAUUCAUUCGGAUUUAAAUAAAAGCGAUCUGAGGUUGUCUAGGAGCAUGAAAGAGGAGAACAAACAUACUGAUUAUUCUGAUGUGGAAACCUAUAGUUGAUUAGAUGGAAAACCAUGGUAUAAGCAAGAGUACUUGUCAGAGAUGAUUAUGAGGAAAAGAGUUAUGGUUAUGAGAAUUUUAGAUUGUUUCAUUAUGCAAAUUUAACUGAACUAGCUUGGUGUACACUCCAUUGGUAGGUUGUUGUGAUGGUUAUCUAAAUUCCGUGAUAUUGAGGAGUAUAUUGUAAUAAUGGUGAUUAGUGUGAUCAGAAUAUUUGUGUGCUUCUUUAAAUCCACUGUUAUGAAUUCUCUGAUAUACCAGUUCUGAUAAAUUGAAUGUAAAUUAUAUAUAAUAUUGUAUUUUGGCGUCUGUUGCAUUGAUCUAUCACUCUUCACAUUAACUUCCAUCUUUACUGCAACUCUGUUCACAAUCUAUCUUUAAUUUAAAGCAACAUUGAAAUCACAAUCAACUGCACAUGUUUCGGUGUUGCUUGGUCAUCCUCAGGCAACUGUUCACUUUUCAAAACCUUCACGCGAAAAUCCAUUUGUUUGAGAACAUAACUCUUCAUCCUUUCCCUCACCAUCUUUUUUUUUUUUGGCAGCAUCAAUGUUUUUGUGGUGUUUAAUUUAGCCCCAUCAACGUCAGCAUGUUGUUGUUAUCAUUAUUAUUUUUAUGUGCCCCCUUAGUAUGUAUUUUCCCACUGGUUGAGUGUGUGACAUACACUUGAUUAGUGGGAACAUACAUACUAAGGGGGCACAUAAAAAUAGAGAUUGUGAACAGAGUUGCAUUAAAGAUGGAAGUAAAAAUGUUAUUUGCAAAAGAAGUUGUAUAUGUGGUAAAUAAAGAAGAUUUUUCCUGUUA